rnacentral:rRNA from 1 species
GACGAACGCUGGCGGCGUGCUUAACACAUGCAAGUCGAACGAUGAAGCUAGAGCUUGCUCUGGUGAAUUAGUGGCGAACGGGUGAGUAACACGUGAGUAACCUGCCCCGAACUCUGGGAUAACUGCUGGAAACGGUAGCUAAUACUGGAUACGACCUACGAAGGCAUCUUCUGUAGGUGGAAAGAAUUUCGGUUCGGGAUGGACUCGCGGCCUAUCAGCUUGUUGGUGAGGUAAUGGCUCACCAAGGCGACGACGGGUAGCCGGCCUGAGAGGGUGACCGGCCACACUGGGACUGCGACACGGCCCAGACUCCUACGGGAGGCAGCAGUGGGGAAUAUUGCACAAUGGGCGCAAGCCUGAUUCAGCAACGCCGCGUGAGGGAUGACGGCCUUCGGGUUGUAAACCUCUUUUAGUAGGGAAGAAGCGAAAGUGACGGUACCUGCAGAAAAAGCACCGGCUAACUACGUGCCAGCCGCCGCGGUAA